CUUCCCGCGUUGUAUAGACACAUCUCGCAGGCUGCAAUGUAUAAAAAGGUUUCUUCUGUGUAGUGCAGGUCUCUGUCAGAGGUUUCAGGGCAUGACUGCAGGAGUGAGGAGCCGUGCUGUGCUGUGGAGAGGGAUUAGCUGGAGUCUCGGAUUCGGUGUGAGGGCUGGGGGCUGGCGGGUAGAUGUCAGGGUUCCAGCCAGCCCUGGGUGGGACUGCCAGAUCUGCCGCUCCACAGGGAGUCCAGAGUGUGAGGAUACCUCUAAGGCAAAACAAAGUGCCCUUGAAAAGCAGAGAGAAAUGCCAGAUUUGCCACCUUCUUCUUUUUCCCCUCCCUGGAAGCUGGCAGCCCAGAGUGGUGGGAAGGAGAGUCAAGGGCAUAAAUAAGCCAAGAGAGGAAAGGUGUAGCAAGGGUUGUGCUAAAAUGCCUGUUUCCUUUCGAAUUUCUACACCAUCAGAGGACAAACGACGCUUGACUGAGCAGGUUACUUCUAUGAAAAGCAACAUUCAAGAAGCUAGUCCAUAUCCUGGAAAUGGCUGCAUGGACACAUCUCUCAACAGGUGGUUCUGUUCUUUGACCCUGAGUUCAAAGCAUAUAACUACCUUCAGACUGCUGCUUUUUCACAGUUAGGCCCAGGAGAUGUAUAAAUGAUGAAUGGGAUAGGAUGGUGGCACAAACUUUUGAAAGAAGUUCAGAGACUGAGACAAAGGUGGGUCUAAGAGCUGGCAAACUCCUGUGAAAACCACUUGCAUGACUGAAGAACGUAUGCCUUGCAUACCUCUGCAUUCCUCUGUAGCUGCACUAAAGACCACUAAGAUGUCAACUCAAAAUGAUGACAAGGUCCUUAUUUUUC
rnacentral:lncRNA from 1 species